ACCAGCAUGAUGUAGUGGUUUGAAUGCUGGACUACAACUCUGGAGACUAGGGUUCGAAUCCCCACUCUGAUA